CAGACUUCAAAAUUUCUCUUCGGUCUCUUCCUCCUCGGAAUGAGAAGUGAUUGAGAUCAUGACUCAUUGCUGUGAUUGCUUUUUGUGGGACUGGCAUGAGAGACAAGAUUACUUUUCUUAAGUGAUGGAAUUCCUCCAGUAGAUUGGGUCAUGUUUGUAGGCAAUGAAUCUAGGAGCUCCUUCGUUGGAUGUCCCUUAUGCUGUCCUUGUAGAGCAGAUUUGCUGCCAUUACCUCUUGGGGCUGCCCAUGACAUACAUUUAUUUAUUUAUUUAUAGCUUUUUCUACAUUUUAAUGUUUAAUUUCUGCCAAACUAGUUUGUUGUGUUCUGUUCAUCGACGACAUUUAAUUUGUUGGUUAAUCUUGUUUCAUGA